UGGGGAAUAUUGCACAAUGGAGGGAACUCUGAUGCAGCGACGCCGCGUGAGUGAUGAAGGAAUUCGUUUCGUAAAACUCUGUUCUAUGGGAAGAAAAGGACUGUACCAUAGGAGAAAGCUCCGGCUAAAUACGUGCCAGCAGCCGCGGUAAUACGUAUGGAGCGAGCGUUGUCCGGAAUUAUUGGGCGUAAAGGGUGCGCAGGCGGCUUUACAAGUUGGAUGUGAAAUAUUGUGGCUCAACCACAAACGUGCAUCCAAAACUGCAAAGCUUGAGUUAAGGAGAGGUAAGUGGAAUUCCUGGUGUAGCGGUGGAAUGCGUAGAUAUCAGGAGGAAUACCGGUGGCGAAGGCGACUUACUGGACUUAAACUGACGCUCAGGCACGAAAGCGUGGGGAGCAAGCAGG
rnacentral:rRNA from 1 species